rnacentral:rRNA from 1 species
UACGAAGGGGGCUAGCGUUGUUCGGAAUUACUGGGCGUAAAGCGCGCGCAGGCGGCUAUCCAAGUCAGUGGUGAAAGCCCGGAGCUCAACUCCGGAACUGCCAUUGAAACUGUUGAACUUGAGGACGAGAGAGGUGAGUGGAAUUCCCAGUGAUAGAGGUGAAAUUCGUAGAUAUUGGGAAGAACACCAGUGGGCGAAGGCGGCUCACUGGCUCGUAUCUGACGCUCAGGCGCGAUAGCGUGGGGAUCAAACAGG